CUCGCUCUCUCUCUCUCUCGCUCGCUCGCUCUCUUUCUCUCUCCCCGCCCAGAGUUUUCUCUGUCGCGUAGGGUGUUGUGUUAAUUUUGGCGGUCUCAGAUGUCUCAGGUACCUGGGUCGGAGUCCUUUCUGUUGUUAUCUACUGGAUUCCCUUGAUUCAAGGCCUAGGGAGUUCCUGCCCUACACUGGCCCUCGCGAAAAUAUUUGUCUUUGAGGACGUCUGGGGCUGCGACCGCGGAAUAGAAAAAAAUAGUAGCACCUGCUGCAGAUGCUAGUGUGCCAUCACAAUAAAUCCUCCUGUGCUGACUUUCAGGCAGAAGACACAGCUGUGAGCAGAGCUGGUCAUGUGUCAUCUACUGCUUUUUAAGCAGAUCCUCGUGUGUAUCCAUUGUCUGAGCUUUAAGUAGAAGCUUUUUUAACCUACAUAGUUUUUCACUGAAUCUGUUAGUUUCAGCAUGCUGUUUGUGUUGUUUUCAGUAGUGCAAUUCCUGAUAUCUAUCAAGUAAACACCAUUAAGGAUUGAGCUCACUUCAUGCUCCUGUUCAGGUGCUAUGUUUUGAUUUGUCGGUAUCCCAGAGAAGCAGCCCAUUGCAUCCAAGGCCAGAACAGAAGGCAGCGAUUGCAAAACAUCAUAUUUUGUAGCAGGACGAUGUAGUAACUUUGAAAUACUGAUCCUUAUUAACAUAUUGGUGUGCACAAUGCUUUCUUUUGGCAUCUGAGUAUUGAUGGGAUUAUUUUAAAUCCAUAUUAAAAAUUACUCCAAAGCAGGCAGAUUGCUUGAACCCAGG
rnacentral:lncRNA from 10 species